rnacentral:tRNA from 1 species
GCCUUCUUGGUGUUGUGGUCAGUCCGCUCGGCGCGUAUUCGAGAGAUCCGUGGUUCGAGUCCCGGUGAAGGCA